CUAGCAUAUCAAUAAGCUAAGGAUAGACAACAGGUAGGGAUUGCCCCAGUAACGGCGAGUGAAGCGGCAACAGCUCAAAUUUGAAAUCUGGUCCCCAGGGCCCGAGUUGUAAUUUGUAGAGGAUGCUUUUGGCGAGGUGCCUUCCGAGUUCCCUGGAACGGGACGCCAUAGAGGGUGAGAGCCCCGUCUGGUUGGAUACCAAGCCUCUGUAAAGCUCCUUCGACGAGUCGAGUAGUUUGGGAAUGCUGCUCUAAAUGGGAGGUAUAUGUCUUCUAAAGCUAAAUACCGGCCAGAGACCGAUAGCGCACAAGUAGAGUGAUCGAAAGAUGAAAAGCACUUUGAAAAGAGGGUUAAAUAGUACGUGAAAUUGUUGAAAGGGAAGCGUUUGUGACCAGACUUGGGCCCGGUUAAUCAUCCAGCGUUCUCGCUGGUGCACUUUGCCGGCCCAGGCCAGCAUCAGUUCGCGCCGGGGGAUAAAGGCUUCGGGAAUGUGGCUCCUCCGGGAGUGUUAUAGCCCGCUGCGUAAUACCCUGGUGCGGACUGAGGUUCGCGCUCCGCAAGGAUGCUGGCGUAAUGGUCAUCAGCGACCCGUCUUGAAACACGGACCAAGGAGUCGUCUUCGUAUGCGAGUGUUCGGGUGUCAAACCCCUACGCGUAAUGAAAGUGAACGUAGGUGAGAGCUUCGGCGCAUCAUCGACCGAUCCUGAUGUUCUCGGAUGGAUUUGAGUAAGAGCAUACGGGGCCGGACCCGAAAGAAGGUGAACUAUGCCUGUAUAGGGUGAAGCCAGAGGAAACUCUGGUGGAGGCUCGCAGCGGUUCUGACGUGCAAAUCGAUCGUCAAAUAUGGGCAUGGGGGGCGAAAGACUAAUCGAACCUUCUAGUAGCUGGGUUUCCGCCGAUG
rnacentral:rRNA from 1 species